CGCGCGGUGCUCAUCGGGGGCAAGCGGAGGAUGCUCAUCUCCGCUGGGCUGCACUACCCGAGCGCCACACCCGAGAUGUGGCCCAGUUUAAUUGCAUAGCGCAAGGAGGGUGGCGCAGAUUUAAUUGAGACCUAUGUCUUUUGGAAUGGGCAUGAGCCAGCUAAAGGUCAGUUUUACUUUGAAGAAAGAUUUGAUCUGGUGAAAUUUGCAAAGCUGGUUGCCGCCGAAGGUCUAUUUCUUUUUCUUCGUAUCGGCCCAUAUGCUUGUGCAGAAUGGAACUUCGGAUUGAAAACGAAUAUGGGAUAUUCAAGGAAAUUUCGGUCAAGCAGGGAAGAGAUAUAUGCUAAGGGCUACUCAGAAGGAAAUUGGGCUUAACACUAGCAUUCCUUGGGUAAUGUGCAGGCAGACUGAUGCUCCAGAAGAAAUUAUCGAUACGUGCAAUGCAUUUUAUUGCGAUGGUUUCAAGCCAAAUUCUUACAAUAAGCCAACAAUAUGGACUGAACAUUGGGAUGGAUGCAUAUAAAGAAUAUGGUGCUACUACAAUAUCUCGUUGGUACACUUGAGGCUGAUUUUGUACCUCGUCAUGAUGCAUAUAAAGAGUCAUUAGACUCGGUAAUUUUCAGGGAAUCUCUUCUACAGAUGCUUCUGGUGUAACGGAAGCUUGCAUUCAGAUCUUUCGUAAAGAACUGCAUCUCAUUCCUGCUCACUCAAUAUUAUCAAGAAGUUGAAGAUGGUGUAGCUUCUAAAGAAUGUUCUGCUAAAUCAGCAUCUGAUCUAGAUUCUUCCUUAGCUGUGAUAUCUUUUGGAUUCAAAAGAAAAGCUUUGGCAUCAGUUCAGAAACUUUUCAUUAUAAUUUGCUUGUAAAAUUUUUGGACGCUACUAUGACAGUGAAGGCAGCCCAAUAAAAUAUCUCCACGGUAUAGAGGUAUAUUAAAGCAGCCAAAGUGGGGGCAUCUGAAAGAUCUGCAUGCUGCUAUCAAACAUUGUGAGCCAGCUCUUAUUGCAGUUGAUGGCUCACCUCAAUAUAUAAAGUUAGGAUCCUUGCAAGAGACUAAUAUAUGAAAGCUAUGGAAGGAUCGAUGGAUGUAUGAGGUGACCUGGAUGCAGUUACUGCUCCAGCAACUGGUAGAGUUGUGCAGGUCACCAAGAUCUGUUUACAUGGAAGAAAUUCAUAGACGAAUUCCCAUUUUUUUUUCCCUUGCUUGCUAAUUCUUUAAUGGGUCUGAGUCAAAGGACAAAAAUUAACAUCUUUUUGCAGGUUUUCCUCUGUAGGUACUAGCUGCUGCAGCAUGUUCUUUAAGGGAACAAGAGACAUGGGUGUAGCAAUAUUAGAUGAUCAGCUGAUACAACGUAAUGAGUUGAAAUAGUACUGAAGCAGAUGUUCCUCACGGGAAGUGGUGGGUGAUGGCAGCAGUGCAACACGUAGGCUAAGUGUUUACAGGUUGAUUCGUUCAAAUACAGACAUGUGCUCGAUAGAUUUGUGCCAAUCCUCUAUCUAUUACUUCACAGAUGAAGAUUUGGAAGGCAAUUUCGGUUCAAUGGUUUACCAAUGAUGGAACUGCCAUCCCCAUCUCCAACAGCCAGCCCAAAUCGGUUUUGGAUUAUUGGAGUGGCUAUGAUUAUGUCAGCAUCAUUUCUUCCAAGCAUUUGAUUAAGCUAAACCUUGUCAAAGAAGGUCCAUCUUGAUUUCACUGUUCCAAAUUUCAUGUGCCGAAGAAGGAAUUUCAAAUCGAGAAACUACAGCCCAUGGAAGCUGAAAAGAAGAGGAUCAGGCAAGAAUAUGAACGGAAAGAGAAGCAAAAUGAUGUCGAGAAGAAAAUGUUUAUUUCUUCUUUCGUGAAUAAUACUCAAGGCAGGUCAAAGAUUCCCAAAUUGAAGUUCUGCAAGCUCAAGAUGAUUUAGUGAAGUGUAUGUUGGAGGCAAUAGGGAAGGAGCUGCUGUACAUUAGCCGAGAUCACCAUUCACACGAGAAUCUUCUUAGGAUACUCAUUUUUCAGAUUGACUUGCAUGGAACCUAAUACUUAGCCUGGACUGUUGAUUUAUUUUACAUAUCAGUAACCUGGAGAUCAAGAUUGAAAUUACUGCCAAAUGCAAUCUAUGCCAAAAGACUGGGAUGAGGAAUAUAUUGAAGAUCUUGAUGAAGUUAAACCAGAGGUCUAGUUGUCGGUGGGCUUGCUAAUAUUUCAAAUACAGAGACCAAUACUAGGUUUGUAGUUAUCAGGAUCUUAUGCAUGAUGUGAGUAUGUUAUUCUUCAAUGUGCAGGAUGUGGUUUAACUUCAAUGACGAUUUUUUCUUCUUGUUCUUAUUGCCUCCUAUAAUAUUAUAUCCUUUUACUUUUCUAAUUCAGAACUCAUAAUUCCUUAUGCUGUUAUCUACUUUGAUUAUUUACUUCAUCUCUUAAAUGCUACUUCAUAAUGUCGAGUAUGGAUUCCUUAACUUCAAUGUACCCAAUCAGGAUUCAACUUAUCCUCGGAAAGUACCUCAUGAUGGCAAUAAUUUAAAUUAUCUAAACUUCUUUCCUUGAAAUAAUUUGUUUUUUACAGAAACCAUUCUUUGCAAAUUUUGGGGCCACUGUAACUUUUACCUUCCUUGGGACCUUCAUUGCUUCUGUUUUAACAAGAGUUCUUGUGUCUUGUCUAUCUUGGUGGGCUCGCAUUUCUAAUGUACAAACUUCCAUUGUUGAGUAUCUCAUGUUCAGUGUGCUUAUAUCUGCAACCGAUCCUUUCACUGUGUUGUCAAUAUUCCAGGACAAUGUCAUCAAUCAGAAGUGAAACAACAGCUGGGGAGAAUUUCUUUAUGAUGGUUUUCUAGUUCCUUGAGACCAUUGUUGGCUCAAUGUCAUCAGAUCUUGUGAAACUUUAACCACUCUGUACCCAUUUAAAUAUGCUGGACUGGAUAUUGACAAGUAAGUCAUGUCAUGCUACUUGUUUUCAGUUGACAAACUUUGUCAUGAUUAAUUUAUGUUGCCAGUGCUAAGCUUGUUGGGUUGUUUAACUGUUUCAGUCUUCAAAACAUGGAGUACUGCCUUUUUGUUCUUUUCCCUUGCUUCUGGUUUAUGUUAGCAUAAGGACUUGGCUUGUCAAGAAUUGUUUCUAUACUAUUCAUAGGGAUGGUUAUGAAGCACUAUACAUAUUCCCAAUCUCUCAAACAACUCGCCGCACUUCAUUUCUGCCUUCUUUCACUUACUGUCAUCUCUAGCGGAAACAUUCGUUUUUCAGCUUCAUUUAUAUGGGCUUUGAUAUUGCCAUGGAAGAACAUAGCUGGUCUCACCUGGGCUUCAUAUUCUUCUCAAUUAUAUUUAUAAUACUUGCAAGGUACUGUCAGGAGCCCCUUAUUCAAAUAUAAUACUUAAUUGGCAGCCAAAGCCAUAUUAUUGUCUAGAUUUGCACAAUUAUGUCUUCUCUAUGGUAAAAGCAUGUAACAGUAGGAUGUAUAUGAAAGGUGUAUCCCCUAACUACAAGGGAAAAUGGAAGGUCCCAUGGAUUGAUAAUCCAGAAUUUGAGGAUGACCCAGACCUAUACGUGCUGAAACCUUCUUGCUGAUUAAUAGGUGUCUGUAAGUGCAUGCACACAUUGUUAGUACAAUUAGAUAUGCAUGAAUUGUCAUUUUUUUCCCUAGUAAUGAAGGAGUGACUUGGAGAGGCGCAAGGAAUGUUCUUGUGCAGGGCUGCGAUGCGGCUGAGGCAGGUAGGAUGGUGAUGUGGUCGCCGGCCCCAGUCAUGGAGCUGGCGCACCUCGCCAUCGACUACAGCGGCGACCCCGCUUCCAUCCACUAUGCGCUCAACGCCACCAUGCUGCUGGUGCCUGACAUUCAUGAGGCGAUGAGGAAGAAAUGCCAGCUCACAGGAACACCAUAUGGGAGGCGCUUUGCUAACAAGCUGUAGAUUUUUACUCUAGAUGUGCAUGAAAGAUAUGAAAUCCUCUACUUUUCGGUUGACAUUGUUCAUAUCACAUCUUUGUGUUGUCCAACAGGACAUCAUUUCAUACUUGGUGUUUUUGUUCGAAUUGAUUGUGGCACAGGGACCAUUAGUGGGAUUAAUUGUAUCUCUUAG